rnacentral:ncRNA from 1 species
CCUGUGGAGCGUCAUAAAAAACGCAAGUAGUGUCGACAAAAAGUCGGACGCGCUGAAAGCAGGAA